rnacentral:rRNA from 1 species
CAGUCGCCACGGUAAUACGAAGGGGGCUAGCGUUGCUCGGAAUGACUGGGCGUAAAGGGCGCGUAGGCGGCUGUUACAGUCAGACGUGAAAUUCCUGGGCUCAACCUGGGGGCUGCGUUUGAUACGUGAUGGCUUGAGUUCGGAAGAGGGUCGUGGAAUUCCCAGUGUAGAGGUGAAAUUCGUAGAUGUUGGGAAGAACACCGGUGGCGAAGGCGGCGACCUGGUCCGAUACUGACGCUGAGGCGCGAAAGCGUGGGGAGCAAACAGGAUUAGAUACCCCCGUAGUCCCUGUCUCUUAUAC